GCAAGGGCAGGACUGGCUAUGUGGGGAGCUAGUAAGGCCCAAGCCUGCAUGCAGGAUUCCCCCUGAGAACUGGCCUCUAGGAACCUGAAAGCAAGAUCCCUCCGCUGGGCUUUUCCUUCUUCACUGAUGAUUCCCAGUUUGUAAAGUUUUGCUGGGAAAUUCCCCCAGCCAGGCUGAGUUAGCCGUCCAGCUCCCAAGGUGAGACCAGUCACAACAUGGUCAGCUCUGCUCUGCCUGCUAGUUCAGGGCUGCUGUGUGUGUGUCUAGAUGCUGGGCUAGGAGACGACAGUUUGGAUUUUAAUACAGUUGUGUAAUCUGCACCUUGAGCCCUGCACCCCUUUGUGGUGAGGGGAGAUCCUGGGACCGAAGCAGCCGGAUUCCUGCCUGAAGAGGAUCCCUGCCAGCAGAGAUCAGCCCCUCUGCAGUGACCAGUGAGUCCAGAGCCAUCUCUGAACCUGAGGAUCAUUCAUGGAGUUUAUCCCUUAUGCUACGUGUUAUGGCUCUACCUACCAGAAAGCAAGGAGGCCACCAGUCAAGACAAUAUAAGGCAAGGAGGCUGCCAGUUCCACUUCAGUCUAGAAACGUCUACAGCAAGAACAGAAGUAUGAGAACACACUGAGUACAAAGAACGAAACGCCACCACGGAAGAACAAACCUCAGAGGAUGUAGGAGAGACCAUGACACAGAAUUGCUGGUCUAAGCCUCAAACACACACAAGUCCUCCCUCAAAUAUAGGUGAACCAAGGACAUGGAAACAUCUCUCUGAUCAUAUCCAUGAAGCAGCUACAUAAGAAGAAGAAAAAUUUGAUACAGAAGAAUGUCAAGAAUUUCUAAUCAAGUGGUUCAAAUACUCUCUAUUUCCCCUCCUGUAGCUAUGUAAAGAUAGAUUUUAAAACUGGCCACUUCUGUCCCAACUGUAAACCCCUCAGAACCUACCUGCAUGCAAUGGAAGGAAUAUAGGCCCUGAUUCACCAAAGCACUCAAACCCAUGCUUAAUUUGAAGCAUAUGUGGUCCCAUUGAUUUCAAUGGAUCUGUUCACAUGCUUCAAGUUAAGCAUAUGCUUAAGAGUUUUGCUGAAUUGGGGCCAUAAUCACGUAUCACUCUUGCAUUUCAAGGGAAAACAUAAAAAGGGGGUAAGCAUUAUUUAAGGCACUAUAGCAAAGAAUAAUAAUGUGACAUUAAUAAAUGGAAGUCUUCAAGCUGGACAUUAGGGGGAAAUAGUUGAAGAAUGAAGUCAGUUAGAAAAUUUAGUAACUUGACAAGGGAAGCCACUUGGGUGCCACCAAGACAGGUUUUCAAGAAUACACAAGAUACACUACUGGUUUAGUGGAGAGAAUAAUCCUUCACAAGUGCAGAUGGUUUGGCUAGCUGACCAAUAAACACUAUCAUUUAUUAUCCUACUCAGUUAAAAAGAAAUCUACAUUUGUGAUGUUAUGGUUUGAGAUUUUACAUAUGCAAAAGAAUGAAAUUUUAAAGUUGAUGUUUCCACAGCAACCUCAGCUAAGCCACAUUAUACAUAUAUAGUAAGGUAUAAGUGUGACAACAUCUCCCAUAAUACAAAAUAUUACAUACGAUAAACACUAGAAGGAAGAGUGACAAUUGUUGUGGGCUCUAUGAUUGAAUUUCCUGAUUCUUGUGGCUUUUUAAACUCUCAACCACAGCACUAUAACAAAGCGUUUUUUUGCACACACACAAAGCAGGAAAAGUAACUGUUAAGAGGGGAAAAAAUUUCAAGUCACAUACUGAAAUAAACACACAUCUCCUAGGUCCCCAGAACUCUGUGGUUCUCCAUCCAGUGCCCCUAGCUAGAGGCCUAACCUCCCCCAGCCCCCAUGCAUCUAGAAAUUCCACAGACAAGAGAACUACUCCCAUGUCGGUGCCCACAUUCAUAGAUCUUAAAUCUUGGGUUUUCCCCCAAGUCCCUCAGAUAAACUAGGGUUACCAUAUGUCUGGUUUUUCCCGGACAUGUCCGGCUUUUCGGCAA